UGGAUUUUGGUCACAUUCAUGCAACAUUCAAUCUUUAUCUUUCUGUGUCAGCCUCAGAAGAGUGAUAUCAUUCAUGAUCACCUGUACCAAACUGAAU